rnacentral:lncRNA from 1 species
GGGGUUAUCAGGAAAUAUGGAAGAAAGGCCCAUACGUCGGGAUUACAUAGAGAUAUUAACAAGCCGCGCGAUUAUCUUACAUCUAGAAGACUCCAGAAGCCGCGAGACCGAAGCGGAGGUGAAACGGGGCCAGAGGCAGGGCGCUCGCCCUCCUGCUCUAGGCGCCCGCCCCCUCUGAGAGUCCAAUCAGGACUCUGCUUCGUGGG